rnacentral:rRNA from 1 species
UGCAAGUCGAGCGCGAAAGCGAUCUUCGGGUCGUGAGUAGAGCGGCGAACGGGUGCGUAAGACGCGGGUGACCUAUCCUUGAGGCGGGGAUAACCCUUCGAAAGAGGGGCUAAUACCGGAUGAGCCCACAGGCAGAGAUGCGAGGGGGCAAAGGGUGCAGUUUAGUAGCUGCAUGUCUUCAGGGAGGGGCCCACGGCCUAUCAGCUAGUUGGUGGGGUAAUGGCCCACCAAGGCGAAGACGGGUAGCUGGUCUGAGAGGAUGGCCAGCCACACGGGGACUGAGACACGGCCCCGACUCCUACGGGAGGCAGCAGUGGGGAAUAUUGGGCAAUGGGCGCAAGCCUGACCCAGCGACGCCGCGUGGGUGAUGAAGGCCUUCGGGUCGUAAAGCCCUGUCGGGUGGAAAGAACGGUAUUUUUGCGAAUAGCAAAGAUACGUGACGGUACCACCGAAGGAAGCACCGGCCAAUUCCGUGCCAGCAGCCGCGGUAAGACGGAAGGUGCAAGCGUUGCUCGGAAUCACUGGGCGUAAAGGGUGCGUAGGCGGCUUGGUGGGUCUGGUGUGAAAGCCCCGGGCUCAGCCCGGGAAGGGCACUAGAAACUGCCGAGCUGGAGUGCCGGAGGGGAGAGUGGAAUUCCUGGUGUAGCGGUGAAAUGCGUAGAUAUCAGAGGAAUACCGGUGGCGAAAGCGACUCUCUGGACGGCAACUGACGCUGAGGCACGAAAGCGUGGGGAGCAAACAGGAUUAGAUACCCUGUAGUCCACGCUGUAAACGAUGGGCACUAGUGUCGGGGGUAUCCACUCCCUCGGUGCCGCCGCUAACGCAUUAAGUGUCCCGCCU